UGCCCUUAUUCAAUACUUUGUGUCCCUUUUGUUUGUUCAUGUGAUCUUUGGACGCUGGUAGCGUCUUAAUUACAUGUUGGAUAAGAUGUCAAACUCAUCAAGCAAAAGUUCUCUUUUCAAAAUUCUAUAAAUCGAGCUCUCACAGCUUUGCAAGGGGUUAUCACCACGCAUCACGUACCAAGAAAGGGAGAAAUAGUGGUCUAUAUGAGAGAGUUACGGCGAAGAAGAAAGAGGAAUUGACUUCGACGUCAAAUCUUAUUUCUUGAGUAAAU
rnacentral:lncRNA from 1 species